UCUCACAAAUUCAUCGCCGAUGGGAGCUUCUCUGAGUAGCGAGGGCUUCGAUGACUCCGACUCUGAUUACGAAGAAGACGAUAGACCAGAACACGACUGCGAAGAAGAAGAGCAUGAUAAUGAUAACGAUGCUAAGUCGUCCCCCAAAUCCAGAUCCAAAGCAUCGGUGAAUCGAUUUUACGAGGACUUCAUGGAGGAGUUUGAGGAGGCUACUGAUGGGCGAGUAGUGAGCCUGACAUUGGGUGCUCUUGAUCAUAGUUUCUUGGUGACUGACAAAGGGAUUCAAGUUUACCGAAAUUUUAGCCGUGGGAUCUAUGGGAAUGGUGUGUCUGUGAAAUUUGAUGGUAGUAAUUUGGUUGGAAGUUCGAAUUCAGACCAAUUAGCGGCAAGUAAAGCAAUAUUGAUGAGGGCAGAAACUGAUAUGCUGCUAAUGAGUCCAAUGAAGAAAGGAAGACCACACGCCUCAAGUCUUCACCAGCUUGAUCUCGAGACUGCUAAGAUUGUCCAUGAAUGGAAAUUUGAGAAGGAUCGAGUCGAUAUCAGUAUGAGGGAUAUCACAAAUGAUACCAAGGGAUCACAAUUGGAUCCUUCCAAUUCGACAUUUCUGGGAUUAGCUGAUAACAUGCUUUGUCAAUGGGAUAUGCGCGACGGGAAAGGAGUGGUUCAAAAUUCUCCAGUGUUGCAUUGGAACCAUGGCUAUCUAUUCUCUAGAGGAACAAAUUUUCAGUGCUUUGUAACUACUGGAGAUGGUUCAAUAUUUGUAGGGUCUCUUGAUGGAAGAAUACGGUUGUAUUCAAAGACAUCAAUGUGGCAAUCAAAGACUAUAUUUCCUGGGCUAGGCUCUCCUAUCACCCAUGUUGAUGUUACUUAUGAUGGCAGGUGGGUGCUAGGCACUACUGACACUUAUUUGAUACUGAUUUGCAACUUACACACGGCUAAAGAUGGGGAAACAGAAGAUGGAUUCAUGGGAAUAAUGCCGAGACUGUUGAAGUUGUCUCCUCAGGAUUCACAUCUAGCUGCCAUAAACAAUAAGUUUCAUGGUGGCCAUUUUUCUUGGGUCACUGAGAAUGGCAUAAAGGAGCGUCACCUUGUUGCAACUGCGGCUCUGCAAAAGAAGUCUUGGAAUCAUGAGGACGCCUUGAGGCAAAUGGACCUGGUAAGCAGAUUCACUUUCUGAAUGUUUUUCUCUGAUGUAGUUUCUAUAUGUGCAGCACCUAAAAUGGAAGAAAAGAACAGCAGACUGAGAAAGUGAAGUGAUACACAGUAAAGAAGGGCAAAAGAAGAGGAAAAAUAAAGAUGGAAAAGUAAAGGAUGGAUUUUUUAGUAUAAAAGCAGCCCAAGUAGGAGAAAGUUCACCUUGCAUCCUAUUGUAGCUGAUGUCGAUGCAAGUCAGAUUGGGAUACACUCCAAAAUCUUGAUCUACAUAACCUGUUAGUUGAUAAUGUUCAAGCUGAAUCAUAGAUAAGGAUGAACAGUUCUUAGGCUUAUAGGGAUUGUACCAGUGAAGUUAUUGUAGGCAGCACAAAAUCUGACAAGCUUUCCAUCUUUACACAUUUGUAUUGGUGGUAACCUUCCGGUGAAGUUAUUUCGAGCUAAUGAAAGAUAACUACAGAGGAAAAGUUU